AGCAGCCACUCAUUAAAAGAGUGCGUAAUAGCUCACUGGUCGAGUGACUCUGCGCGGAAAAUAUAACGGGGCUAAGCAUACAACCGAAGCUUGGGAUUGUCUAAAGACAGUGGUAGGGGAGCGUCGUGUAUGGGGUGAAGUCGCAUCGGAAGGAGCGGUGGACUGUACACGAGUGAGAAUGCCGGAAUGAGUAGCGAGAAUUAUGUGGGAAUCAUAAUGGCCGAAAAUCUAAGGUUUCUUGGGGAAGGUUCGUCCGCCCAAGGUAAGCCGGGAGCUAAGGCGAGGCCGCAAGGCGUAGUCGAUGCACAUACGGUAAAGAUUCCGUAGCCGCCGAACUUUAAGUCAGAGGGACACUUGCAGAUAGCGGAACCCAGCCGUUGGUUGAGCUGGGCGAAAGGGACUGAAAUUAGUAGGGAAGUCCGCGAUGCUGAAAGGCGAGAAAAGCUCUGAUGGAUACUAAGGCGCCCGUACCGCAAACCGACACAGGUAGAUGAGGAGAGAAUCCUAAGGCCAACGGGAGAAGGGUUGUUAAGGAACUCGGCAAAUUGACCCCGUAACUUCGGAAGAAGGGGAGCCCCGAAAGGGGCCGCAGUGAAUAGGCCCAAGCAACUGUUUACCAAAAACACAGGUUUAUGCUAAAUCGAAAGAUGACGUAUAUGAGCUGACGCCUGCCCGGUGCCGGAAGGUUAAGAGGAGAGCUUAGAGCAAUCGAAGGUUUGAAUUGAAGCCCCGGUAAACGGCGGCCGUAACUAUAACGGUCCUAAGGUAGCGAAAUUCCUUGUCAGGUAAGUUCUGACCCGCACGAAUGGCGUAAUGAUUUGGGCACUGUCUCGACAGCCCGCCCGGCGAAAUUGUAGUACUGGUGAAGAUGCCAGUUACCCGCAACUAGACGGAAAGACCCCAUGGAGCUUUACUGCAGUUUAAUACUGGGAAUCGGUAAUGCAUGUACAGGAUAGGUGGGAGACUGAGAAACAUGGUCGUCAGGUCAUGUGGAGUCACCGGUGGGAUACCACUCUUGUAUUGCUGAUUUCCUAACCUGCGGCCGUGAAUCCGGUCGGGGGACACUGUUAGACGGGCAGUUUGACUGGGGCGGUCGCCUCCAAAAGAGUAACGGAGGCGCUCAAAGGUUCGUUCAGCACGGACGGAAAUCGUGCAUUGAGUGUAAACGCAUAAACGAGCCUAACUGCGAGACCGACGGGUCGAGCAGUAACGAAAGUUGGAGUUAGUGAUCCGGUGGUAUGUGAGUGGAAAUGC
rnacentral:rRNA from 1 species